GGGGGCGACCCCGGUAAUGGAUGGGCAUGCGGCGCAUUAGGUAGUUGGUGGGGCAACGGCCCACCAAGCCGACGAUGCGUAGGGGUUCUGAGAGGAAGGUCCCCCACAUUGGAACUGAGACACGGUCCAAACUCCUACGGGAGGCAGCAGUGAGGAAUAUUGGUCAAUGGCCGGAAGGCUGAACCAGCCAAGUCGCGUGAGGGAAUAAGGCCCUACGGGUCGUAAACCUCUUUUGCCAGGGAGCAAUGCCGUCCACGUGUGGACGGAAGGAGAGUACCUGGAGAAAAAGCAUCGGCUAACUCCGUGCCAGCAGCCGCGGUAAUACGGAGGAUGCGAGCGUUAUCCGGAUUUAUUGGGUUUAAAGGGUGCGUAGGCGGCCUGCCAAGUCAGCGGUAAAAUUGCGGGGCUCAACCCCGUACAGCCGUUGAAACUGCCGGGCUCGAGUGGGCGAGAAGUAUGCGGAAUGCGUGGUGUAGCGGUGAAAUGCAUAGAUAUCACGCAGAACCCCGAUUGCGAAGGCAGCAUACCGGCGCCCGACUGACGCUGAGGCACGAAAGUGCGGGGAUCAAACAGGAUUAGAUACCCUGGUAGUCCGCACAGUAAACGAUGAAUGCUAGCUGUCCGGGGGGAUUGACCCCUGG
rnacentral:rRNA from 1 species